AACGUUAUAAUCGCGGCAGUAAUGCGGCGGCGAAAAUCACUCAUUUUAUCAAGGAAAUUGACAGUUGCAACCGCGGCAACAACGACGCCAGUAAUUUAUUUGCAUUUCCUUAAUAGAUACCUAAUUGAGUUGCUAUCGUUGGCAAACUGUCAGUAAGCAGUGCGCUCGAUGAUACUUACUUUACUCUUUGGCUCGAUGUUAUAUUAUAAGCCUAUAAGGUGAUAGAUGGCAAGGCAUACGCAUACGUAAGAUUGGUGCCCUUAAAAUAUCUACCGAAAUAUCGAAAUAAAAAAUAUAUAAUAAAAGGUUAACUGAAAACAGGCAUUAAGGUUUCCUCACGAGCGACCGUUUGCGCAAUAGUUCACAAAGUGUUCAAACAAAAACACUUAAGUAGAUAUUUCGGACAAAGCGAAUGCCUUACAAAGGGCACAAAUCUUGUUAAAAGGGUGUUUUUACCUAGGUAUUUCCUGUCACUUUCUUUUUACUGAUAAAGGAUACACUUAAAGUUCCUUUGAUGAUGAAAAACAGAUGAACUAAGCCUAGCUAUUACCUAGUGGUGUUAUAUUUUAUACUUCUAUUUUUUUAGCAUUAGAAAAAUGAUAAACAAUCUUGAUGUGUCCUCUUUGAACCCUAUUAAAAAUAGUAACAAUUAAUUAAUUAUGAAACCAAAAGAAUGUAAAUGAUCAUUUUUUAUAUACUACGUCGGUGGCAAACAAGCAUACGGCCUGCCUGAUGGUAAGCAGUCUCCGUAGCCUAUGUACACCUGCAACUCCAGAGGAGUUACAUGCGCGUUGCCGACCCUAACCCCACCCCCCUCGUUGAGCUCUGGCAACCUUACUCACCGGCAGGAACACAACACUAUGAUCAUACAUAUUAUGCUAUAUAAUUGUUACAUAUUAGCUGCAACUUAUUUUUAAAGAGACGUCAAGAUCGCUUACCUUCCUUAUAAUGCAAAAAAAACGAAGUAUAGUUGAAUACCACGCCGAUGAUAAAUAAGCAUAAUAAUAUGGGCCUUAUGGUAAACGGUUACUGUAACCUAUUGACGGAUUUCAGAGGUGUCACAUUCGAGUUGCCAAUAAUGUAUAAACCUGUACCUACCGUACACUCCAUUUUUGAAGAACGCCAUACUCAUAAUAUACACCUCGUGGUCAUAACGAAGGAAAUGGUUUAUUUUCCCUUCAAUACAACUAAGUAAGAGUGCGCUUCUCGCUUCGCCGAACACUCUCAAAUACUGUAUUUUUGUAAACUUGCUUAUACUUUAAUGUAACAUUACUGUAUAAGUCCUAUAAUUUUAAUUGCUUGCCGGCCAUGUGGUCAAGCCAAGUCAAAGGUUUAAGACGAAAGUGGACGAUUAACGUUCAUUAUUUUUGUGACACGACAAUAAUGACAUACACAGACUCGCUGGCCAGACUAUGUAUCUGUUUGUGCCACAAUAAAAACCCUUUUCAAUAUUGUAUCUGACCUUCUUGUCGGGUAUUAAAAUACGGCAAGGUACAGAAAAAUAUAUAUAUGUACGAUUGACACGUGACUGCUUUCGUGAAAUUACGUGUACAUAAAUCAAAGAAGAAUUCUAAAAAUAACCAGGAGAUCGGUGCAAUUAAUCUAAAGUUGAAAUAAAUAAUUCCAAUAAGUUACACUGUAUUAACCAGGCGUCAAACAACCGUUGACCAACCCAAACCUAAUUUGCUCCUUCUAUUAUUACAAAAUAGGCAAGCAGUUUUACAAAAGCUUGUAACUCGUAAUAUUUGGCGUCUCUUUUUACUUUUAUUAGAAAGGAACUUCCGCUUGUUUUACAAGUUACAAAGCUUUGUAUGGGCCCCUGGCCGUUACUGUUAAAAGUAUAAGCACGUUUACAAAAAUAACGUAGCGAACUCCUUAGCGACUACUAACUUAACUGUUUUACGUCGAGUUUUAAACUCACUCGUAAACGGGGUCAAACUCCCCUAAAAAUUCUGAAAAGUUUCGUAGCAUCGCAAAUUUCUCCCCAUAUCCGAGAUUAAGUCAAGUUUUUCGGUGGAAGCAAAUUUGAAGGGUGUCCUUCAAAAAUCCCUAUUGGCACUUGGGCACGUUUGAGAGGCCCUCGAGCUUUCGGAAGACAAGGCUUUUAGCUUGAGCUAAAUUGGAAGACGCUAUCGUCAUUGACGUUGUUAAGGCUGUAGAUAUUUCUAACAAGAUAGCUAAUUAGGAAGUUUAGGAACAUAUGCCUAAACUUUUAGUUGAAUUUAAUACAGUGUAGCACUGUCGUAACUGAAGCGGAAUAUAUGGCGACCAUAUAAGUUUUUUUUACUAUAAAUGCUUUUAUUGCACUUUUUUUUAGUACGAAUUUAAUGAGUUGCCUUUAAUAAUAAUAGACGAUAGGACGCGCUGGCGCUGUUAUUAGAGUUCAGUUUUUUAUUAUUAUUAACAAAUCUACCUAGCUCCAAACUAAGCAUAGCUUUAGCUUGCACUGUGGGUAGUAGGAGACGAUAUAACUAUACUUAUAUACAUAAAUACAUACUUAUUUAAUAUUACAUAGAAGCACCCAUGAUACAGGAACAAAUAUCUGUGUUCAAAUUACAAAAAUAACCUUACCAGGAUUCGAACUCGGGACCAUCGGCUUCGUAGGCAGGGUCACUACCCACUAGGCUGGCCUCGCGGUCUGGACCGGUCGUCAAAAUCGGAUAUAAAUCGUUUUUAUAUGUAUUGGCAUCAUCGGCCUUGCUGUCGUUCACGUCUGCGUCUACUCACAUCUUUAUGUAUAUAAAAUAAAAACAUUAGGCAGAAAAUUGCGUUAUACAUUGCAGAGCUUUAUAUUCAUUGGCACGUGUUACAAUAAGGAUCAAAAUCUGCUUGUAUUUAUACCGUUUGGGAGGAUAUCUAGUAUCUAUGCGGUUCAUGACUCAUUCAUUAUUAGUAUUAUUUGACCCCGAACCUUAUAGUAAAUAUGCGCAUUCAAAGGUCAGAGAUAUGAGAUUCAAUGUAUACGUCAGCGGCCAAGCAUGAGAAUGUAAGCAAUUUCCUUUAUCUACACCCCUAGCACAGUCAAGUGGCGCAGUCUAAACCACUGAAUCGAUUUUGAGAAAUAGGGUGUCAAAUGAUCCGGGCAAAAUGCCAAGAGACAGUAAGUACAUGCAUAGACAUCUUGAGUAUGACCAAAGACUAGUAAAUGUUCAAGACGAACAACCUCCAUACAACACCGUUCCUUGCUUGCCUUUUGACUAUACUUAUUUCAUGUUAGCUUUAUAUGUACAAAAUCUGUCACAGACUGCUUUUAUGACUUCUAAACGUAAAAUUUUAUUCAGAAGGCUACUGCCAUAUGCAAAAAAGUAUAAUUAAAGCAUAAUAAGCAAGCAAGCAAAUCUACUUUUGUGGCUAUAAUUGCGGUCUGUCAAGUCCAAUUAUACGUUUUGAAAUUAUAAAUAGCACUAGGGUGGCAGUUUUUAUACGCAAAUAACAAUAAUGUAAAAUAUGAAUGUUCUACUUUAUUGACGAUUCCCGCAGCGUUAUAGGGGCUAUCAGUCUUCUUUAUUUACUAGAUUCUGGUAUGACGUAUAUAGAAAAUGUACUAUUUGCAAAGUCAUGGAAGCCUGUGCUAUAGCAUAAGAGAAAAUUCGCGGGCGUAAAUUUUCUUACUGAUUCAUGUUAGCCGUCAAAUAAUGAAUGUAACACUUUGCCACCAGGUGAACGCCACGAUAUUAGACUUGACCGUUUACGUCUUCGAUAUUUCCAAAAAGCCUUACAUGACCCAAGGUUAUUAAUAUCCAAACGAAAAUGAACACUCAAAAAUUACUUAGGGCCGAUUCUGUAUCGGCCCUAAGCCCAGACGGACUGAACAGUCGGGUCGCUUCAAUUUGUAUGGGAACUUCACGCCGACUGUACACCAAAUACAACGUCAGCGUGCAGUUCACAUACAAGUUGCAGUCGGAUUGCAGUCCGUCUGUACCGGCCCUUAGUAGUAAAUCCUUACUUAAUACGUAAAGCCGGACCGGACUACUACUAGAUUUUAAUAGAUAUCUGUAAGCAUCUAUGUACUUAUUCGUAAGCUGCUUAUACAAUAAUUAUGCGCAGAAUGUAAAGCUUAAACACGUUUUGAUUUAAGAUCGAAAUUCCCAUGGAAUUUUAGCUGAGAUUAGGUGGGCAUUGAAAAUAUCAAAAUAUCCUACGAUGGCAAGGGACUCAAUGAAUCUGAACAAUAUGAUAGUUAAGAAUUACGGUUGAGACAGCUUUCAUUCAAAACCCAGCUCAUAAUCGGGUUACAUUAAUAUUCUCGGUUGAAAUUACAGAUUAGGGACCAAAGGUGAUUUUAUUUAGGGUUAGCCUGCCCCGGGUCCAUUAAGUCUUUUAUGAGGUCGGGGUUGUCAUAAUACUUUAUUUAGGUUGGAUUUUCAUAUUAAAUUCAUGACUUUAUUUUGUAAUACUUUUUACUGCGGAUAUCUUUAUUCUCCUGCGAAUGAGCUGGAUGGUUUUAUUACAUAACAAACGGCCUAAAACUCACAAUACCUAGCUUCGAAGAUGGAGCAAGAUGUGUGAAUAGUUAGUAUUAGAACUAUGAAACAAACUUACAUACUCACUUAUUUUGCAAUCGGACUAAAACAAAACCAAGUUCUCCUUCGUUCGAAUGAUCUUUAUUCCCAUGUUCAGUAACGAAAGGACAUUUGUCUUGAAGUAUUUCGCGCCAAUAUAAGCCAUUCGCAUCCUGGACAAUUUAACACUGAAUGUACUGUCCAAUACCCGCACACAUGCGGUCUUGUUAACGCCUUUGUUAAAAAACCAUUACCCUCCUUUUGCCGGCAAAAAGAGUUUCGAAACAAAGAUGAGGCGUGUGGGUUAUUAAAGCACAGUUUAAUUAGGAAAGUUAAUAGGGUUCUUAAAGAAUACACAAAAUCCUUUUUGCGUCCGCCUGUAUAUUUAUGCCUCUUUAUUGUGGAGGUUUAAAAUCAAUCGUAGAUACAUUACUUAUUACUUAUAACCUUUAUUAUUAUUACAUGUUGAUCAAAUAAUACGCACGUACGAUAACCUGGUUAAACUUGCGUUUAAUGAGUUGUGCCUUUUGUGAUUGACUAGAGCAAUGUAAUGUCCAUAAAUAAUUAUAUCACUGGCGAAACAAAGAACGUAUUUUCAAAAAGUUACUCAACCUAUACCGUCUUAAACACUGAGCCAUAAAGAAUUCAUGGACGCUUCGUAACCGAUAGAUAACCUCUGGCUUCUUAUAACGGAAUCAGGUACUAAGCAUAAAUCACCGCCGGCCAGUGAUGAUAGCAGAGAGAAUGGUAGAUUAGUACUCGCCUCUUCAAUAUCUAGGGCGCAUUACAACGCUGCCUUCCCACUGAGGCGGAGAUGAGAGCAUUGGUUGUUGUUAUAAUCCAGCGGAGCAGAGAAAAGAUGCAAUGCUAUUUUUUGAUUCCCACACGUCUCGUCUCAUCUCCGCUCAUCUCUGCCUCUGUAAAAGUCAGCCUAAAUAAAGCAGCAUCACUAACCAACACUUUACAACAGUGCCCCUCGCCAGUUUCAAUAUGUAAACUUGUAGCUUUAUAAUUCUGGAAUUCUCGGCUUCUUUGGACAUCAUGCCUGGCGUGAAUCAGCCUUUAAAUAUAAUAUAUUGCUCAUUGGUCCAGUUGAAAGUCGGAAAGAUACCUGGUUUAAUGCAGUCGAAGAGAUUUUGCUCGUCGGACUCGCCAGGGCUACUUAUGACCACCUUAUAAAGUACGAUCUUUGGAAUAAGUAAGUCAUGAUGAAUAAAUAGUACGGACUACGGAACCUUUGACCUGGAAUUUGUAUUCUUAAACGCCAUUUUUUACGGCAGCGCGUCGGAAUAGAAUGCAAGCGCAAACUAGGGAAGCCUGGAAAAUAUUAAAUUACGCUUAGGAGGUUGUGUUUCAGGUCGCGAUUCAUGGAAAAGAUUUAGUCACAGAUUACUUAAAUUGGACAACAAGUAAUUUACACUCGAGAGCAGAUAUAAUGGGAGUUUUAUAUUAAAUACACAAAAUAUUGAAAACGUUAAACGAUACCGUGUCUUAUCUUGAUAUCGUAUAAAUCUUUCGUUUAAGGCGCAACUUAUACAGGUCAUGUGCCGCGCCGCACCGCUUGUCAACUUAGUACAUUUUGUAUGAAACCGUUUUGAAGCGGCAUCAUACCUACGCCACGCCUUCACCUUUACGCCGUCUCUGUAUAAUUCGCACCUAAGGUUUAGGACGGAAUAUUUACAGUUGUGUAAUUUCUGUCAAACGCUGAAUUCAACUUUGCAAAAUUUCGCUUAUAUCUACGGACAAGGAAUUUGAUUUUUGUGACAUUUUGUAACUUGUCACAUUAACAAUAGAAUGUAUCAUAUCAUAUGACAUAUGAGAUCCCUAGAGGCUUUCAUAUUGAUUGUCACUGUGACAAGGAACGAAGUGGUAUAAAAAUCAAAACCUUCACCAUACAAAAUUAAAUGUGUUUAUAUAAUCGAAUUUGUAAUUAUGAUAAGGUUCGACCACUGGACUAAAUAGAAUUCCUAGAAUAUAGCUUUCAGGUAAAGUUCAGUUAAUUUACUAUUCCGUGGUUGCUUUACAACUAACAUUUAGUUUAGAGUUGUUGGCAUGCGUCAAGCCAUGUAAUAUGGAAAUUUUGGUCUAGUUUUUAAAUUCACGAUUGUGAAACAGUAAAGAUCGUUUUGGAUUUGUCUUUCGUUUCUAUAUCCUUUGCACAAUAUAAUCACGUACCUACUUUGUACACAGUACCGGAUAGAAUUCAAAAUACAUUUUCGUCUCGACUGUUAUAACAGUAAGAAAUUUAUUGUGAAGUAAUAUAACCUACAAAAACAUAUCGCAGAAGCAAUUUUUAAGAGGGCCUAAAGUUUAUCAAGAAGUAAAUGCGAUAGUGACACUUGACAUGAUAAGUGCAACUAUAAUAUCCGAACACUUCGCUUUACAAAUGCGCACCCAUGAUAGUUCAGUGCGCCUAGAGUGAACUUUGGAAAAUUAAAAUUUAUCUAUCUCUGUCACCUCAAUGAGACAAAAGAAGCACUUUCCUAGCAAGUCAAGCGUUCAAGCGAAUAUGAUCACGAGGCAUGCCAAACAUGCUUAAUAGGAUAGCAAUCUGUGACCCUGAAAUGAUCGCUCACUCGUGGUCAUAACUUAUAUCAGCUGAGCAGAGUGUAUAGCUGCUCCAUAAAACCAAAACAUCUUAACCGGCAUGCAUUUCCAACAAAUAAGCAGUGAAUGGAACCCAGGAUCAAGGACAGACACCUACAUUCAGCAGGCGGUGGAUGCAGGAUAAAUGUUUUUCCAGCUUCUGAAAUUUUGCCCAGUUUCUAUAACCUUACCUUAUACCAGUACCUUAUAACGGCUACGAAGUGCUAAUACCAGAACUCUCAGGUAAUAGAAUUCGAUAAACCACAUAGUGGGUCUAUAGUAUUUAAUUCACUGUGUUUAUCUACAUAUAUGUCGUGACCAGAUCCAGAUCUAUAUGUCCAGACCAGAGAUUAUAAUUGAUAAUUUCAUGAUGUGGGAUGGUUGUCAUGAAAUGAUCGGUUGUGGCCAAUCAUGAAAAAGUCAAACGUAACAUAACCAUUUGAAGUGAUAAAUUCUAAAAUGGCAUUUCAUGAAAUGGUCAAAUUCGAUGAUGUGGCUGGCAAUGUAGUGCAUUGGGUACUUUACAUACUCAAUAGUUGAAUUAGUGUAGUUCCAGAACUACAUAUUGUCCGUAUUUAAAUUCCGAUAGACGAUAAUGUGAGUUUUCUCAAACUUGUAAUGAAAUGUUGAGAUGACUUACUUCAAAUUAGGUCCGGAAAUACUACAUAUCAGGUGCGAUGAUAUGUAAAGGAAUUUCAUACAGCCUUACACACCUAGGCCUGUAAGGCAACCUUAUUUUGUUUUUAAACGUCAAAUUAUGGUACGUCUUGACAUUCAACCUUAAAAAACCUAUAAGCUAAUUUCUGCCAUUAUCCUUUUUUGUUUUUUUUUUUUUGUUUUUUGUGGGGAUUUUUCCUUUUUUGUGUUUGUUGAAUGUUAUUUCAGAGUUACAAAGGGGAACGAAAAUUUGAUUAUUUUUGCGCUACGACGCACGGUUUAGGAAAUACAGCCCUAUAAAGUUUUUUUUUACAGUCGCGCAGAAAUCUUUAUAGGGCUGUAUCUCCUAAACCGUGCGUCGUAGCGCAAAAUUAAUCAAAUUUUCGUUCCCAUUUGGAACCCUGAAAUAAUAUUCAACAAACACAAAAAAGAAAAAAUCCCCACAAAAAACAAAAAAAAAGGAUAAUGGCAGAAAUUGGCUUAUAGGUUUUUAAGGUUGAAUGGCACUGAAUAACCUAUCACAUUAGGACAUGAAACAAUCAUCAUCAUCCUAUUUUUUUUUAUUUCAUUGCGAGUUUGAGAAGAACACUAUACAAAUCUCGGUGAGAAACGGGGCUGCCGGCCGCGUAUCCCUAUCCGUCUCGCUACGCUCGGCCGUCUAUAUCUACUUGGCCUGCGUUUUCCGUCCUCUAUAGUAAUGUAUAUCAGUUCUAUGCAGCAAAUAGAGUUGUCUGUUUGCCCCUCGUUGCACAUACAAAUGAACACAAGUUAUGCGUGCAUUCCUUUGUACAAUUUAACCUAAAGGUCAAUCAAACGCAGUCCCCUACGCAUAGCGGCUUUUAGAGUCGGACCAAGCUAAGUUGGCAGCGAUUUUAAUAGCCCGGCCUAUGCAAGUAAACGUCAUAGUUUCGUAGAUGUUGAACGUUUAAAAUAACACUUGAUCUGUGUAGGCUAUCAAAAUCGCUGCCAACUUGGUCUUAAUCUAGUGGUGUAACAUUUGUCUACGUUGAAAACUCGUGUAGUAUUUAACGCCUCAUUUGAAAGUUAAUUUUAGGCCGGCGCCCCACUGCAGCGCACGCUAUGUACACGACCCACGUUCCUAUACAAAAUUUCGUGGGCUUGCCCACGGUUUGUAUUAAAACGUGGGCCGUGGAUGUAGCGUGCGCAGCAGUGGGGCGCCGGCCUUAGGAUUAUUUAAUCAGCUCAUGAAGUUCAAGGAAUUUUAGGGUAGCACCGCUUGGCUUUCAGAUCACUGCGACUGAUGCAAGAUAUGACUGCGACUGAUGAUACACUUCCUUCCGCUGUUGGGUCGAAAUUCCUCAGAGUUCUUGCAUAAAAUGUACAAUUAAAUACUAGUUAUUG